CCGAGCGCUUCGGGUCGCUUUCCCCAUCUCAGCCAAAAUCCUCAGGAGCUGCUCCCUCGGCGUGUGUGCGCAGCGUCCUGCACAAACUUGGCUGGGGUUCCCCGCGGAGUUUCUGUGAGGGGACGAAACGGUAGCUUGAGGAAACGGGUCCAACCUUUCGGGCCUUGUAAACCGAGCCCGUCAGGAGGUGCCGCGUUGCUUGUGCUUCGCUGUGGAAGGGCGCCGCGAAGGAGCGCGCCCAAAGCCCAGUCCAGCAAAGACGGCUGAACCUUAAAAGGUACAGUGGGUUUAUGGAUGUCCCUCUAUCCUUCUGGAACUAAAUUUUCCAUGCUCGCCCUUCUGGAGGGAGGAAGGACAAGAUAGAGAGGGAGAGAGGCAGAAGAGAUGUCACCAGUUACUCUGCUAAGGAACAAGUUAUUCAGUACCUGCUCUGAAAAACGUGUCUUGAAGGAAAGCUGAAUGGAAAUGUGAAAGUCAGCACCUUGCUUCCUCAGCAGGUGAACUCUGCGACUACAGCGGCGUUUCCCUCCCUCCCUGCCUCCCCCGGGCUGUGCGUUGGGAAGUUCCAGUGAAAUAUAGCUGCUGUGGAAAGUCCUGCUCACGGCGAGGAGACGUGACCUCUCAGCGAGUCAGAUCCAAUUUUACAGGCAGCUCUGAGUCAGGGUGGAGCCCGUGAACUGAACUUUGUAUGUAAGAAGGAAGUGAUGUUGGUGGCAGCUUGUGUUGCUAAGCAGAUGAGUUGCUGUAUUUUUAUGUCAGCUGAUAGUUUCGUCGGGUGUGUGACUUCAUUCUUAGAUAUGAUGCCUUCCAUUUAUUAAGGACAAAGGUCAGAAAUUGUCAGCGCUGUGAUAGCUGUGUCUCUCCAUAUAAGAAGAGGCAUGUUCUACUGAGCCGUCAAAGAUGGAAAUGGGAGUCCUUAAUGCUGCUUCUGCAUGCUGAAAACAAAACCGACCGUGAAACUGUCAGUUCAUGUCAUGGUCCAAGAGCGAACGUCCUCACGAGCAGGGAUGUCGUGGAGUAGGUCAGUUCCUUGGUGACACUCCAUUUUUAUGAGAACUCACUACUGUUCCUGAUUAAAGAGGUGGCGUGUCUAACCAAGUGUCUGGUCUCCAGUAGUAAUGGGAACUGGGGGGCUGAGGUGAGCAGUCGGGCACUGGCCUGUUAAAUCAGAAUUUAGAUGGAAAGCUAAGCGAUCCUGCCUCUUACUUCCGUAAAGUAAGUGGUGAGUCUACUUGGGAAGGAGAGCGAGUUGUUUAUCACCUCUGUGCCGCUGGCACUCCAGCGGGUGCUGCCUUCCGGCUGUCCAGAUCGUCACGGGUAAGUGGCAGUACCCGGGCAGCGUUUCGGAGAGACUUGAGGGGGAGAGUGCAGGCAGGUUUGGGGCAGCUGCCCGCAACUGUGUGUGUACCCACACAACCCACAGUGAUGAGUCACGGUGUGCUGUCUCAGGUGGCAUUUCCACCUAUUCCCCCCUUAAGGUCUUUGGUUACAUCCUUGAGUUAGCCGUGAGAGAGCUAUAUGUUGUUAUCCUCGUUCUGAGAGCUAUUUAUGUAUCAGAAAACUUCCACAGAAAAGAAUGGAUUUGGGGAGUAGUAGUAAUUCUUCUUGUUGUUGCAUGCCGGAGGGUGAGGCAGCGGGGAACGCUGACGUCCCUCAGAGAGCUUUGCCCCUAUAAGGCCUGGCAGGUGAGUGGCAUGUGGACACGAGCUGCUGGAGCUUGCUGCCCCUCUGCUUUUCUGGUUCAGUUCCUCAGUUAAGGAGUUCCCGGCCACAGAAGUGGCUGUUUGGGCCAGUUCCAGCUUUUGUCACUCUGGCUGGCUUGAGUUUC